GAUGCGAUCAUACCAGCACUAAAGCACCGGAUCCCAUCAGAACUCCGAAGUUAAGCGUGCUUGGGCGAGAGUAGUACUAGGAUGGGUGACCUCCUGGGAAGUCCUCGUGUUGCAUUCC
rnacentral:rRNA from 1 species